UACGUAGGGUGCGAGCGUUAAUCGGAAUUACUGGGCGUAAAGCGUGCGCAGGCGGUUGAGUAAGCUUGAUGUGAAAUCCCCGGGCUCAACCUGGGAACUGCAUUGAGGACUGCUCGGCUAGAGUACGGCAGAGGGAGGUGGAAUUCCACGUGUAGCAGUGAAAUGCGUAGAGAUGUGGAGGAACACCGAUGGCGAAGGCAGCCUCCUGGGCCUGUACUGACGCUCAUGCACGAAAGCGUGGGGAGCAAACAG
rnacentral:rRNA from 1 species